GUUCCUCAACAGCUACCGACAACAUGUUCCGCCUCGUCUUCGCCACGUUGCUGCUCUGCGCCGUCGCCCUCGCGGCUCCAGGCUAUGGAGGAUUUGGAGGAUUUGGCCACGGUGGCUUCGGUGGUUUCGGACAUGGCAUCGGAUUUGGAAAAUUUGUUGGUGGAUAUGGACAUGGCUUCGGUGGAGGAUUUAAGCAUGGUUUCGGCCACGGUGGAUUCGGUGGAGGUUUUUACGGGUAAGAUGCCGCUGUGAAGAAACGCCGAAAACCCCUUGACGACCACAACACUGGAAAACGCUAAUCCUGGCCUCUGAAAUUUUCCUCACCAUUUCAUGUACAAUGAAAUUAAUAAAAAUUAUUUCCUACAUUUGGAUAUUUCA